AACGAACGCUGGCGGCAGGCCUAACACAUGCAAGUCGAACGCCCCGCAAGGGGAGUGGCAGACGGGUGAGUAACGCGUGGGAACCUACCUUGAGGUACGGAACAACCAAGGGAAACUUUGGCUAAUACCGUAUGAGCCCUUCGGGGGAAAGAUUUAUCGCCUUGAGAUGGGCCCGCGUCGGAUUAGCUAGUUGGUGGGGUAAUGGCUCACCAAGGCGACGAUCCGUAGCUGGUCUGAGAGGAUGACCAGCCACACUGGGACUGAGACACGGCCCAGACUCCUACGGGAGGCAGCAGUGGGGAAUAUUGGACAAUGGGCGCAAGCCUGAUCCAGCCAUGCCGCGUGUGUGAUGAAGGCCUUAGGGUUGUACAGCUCUUUUACCUGGGAUGAUAAUGACAGUACCAGGAGAAUAAGCCCCGGCUAACUCCGUGCCAGCCGCCGCUGUAAUAC
rnacentral:rRNA from 1 species